ACCCCUUGGCUAUGGGCAAAGAGACACCUGAUUGGUGGCGGUGCUCUUCAAUCAGUCAGGGACAGAGCCAACUUGAAGUCCUUUGGUCAUCCUAGCUUGAAGUCUGGAUUGUGGCCAGAGCUGUUUCAUGCCAAGGGCACAUUU
rnacentral:snoRNA from 1 species